rnacentral:rRNA from 1 species
UACGUAGGGGGCGAGCGUUGUCCGGAUUCAUUGGGCGUAAAGCGCGCGCAGGCGGUGGCGUGAGCCCGGCGUGAAAGCCCCCAGCUCAACUGGGGGAGCCGUCGGAGACCGCGCGACUGAGGCCGGUAGGGGAGAGCGGAAUUCCCGGUGUAGUGGUGGAAUGCGUAGAUAUCGAGAGGAACACCCGUGGCGAAGGCGGCUCUCUGGGACGGUACUGACGCUGAGACGCGAAAGCGUGGGGAGCGAACAGG